GGAUUGUGGCUCAGUGGUAGAGCACUCACCUAGCAAGUGAGAGGCCCUGGAUUCGAUCCUCAGCACCA
rnacentral:tRNA from 1 species